GACGAACGCUGGCGGCGUGCCUAAUACAUGCAAGUAGAACGCAGUUGCGAAAGGGUGAGUAAAGCGUAGGUAACUGCCUCAUAGCGGGGGCUAACUAACGGAAAAGAUAGCUAGUCACGCAUAGUGUGAGAUGGACCUGCGUUGUAUUAGCGAGUUGGGGAGGUAAAGGCGCACCAAGGACACGAUACAUAGCAGACCUGAGAGGGGGAUCGGCCACAAUGGUAAUGAGUGAAGAGCCAGACUCCUACUGGAGGCAGCAGUAGGGAAUCGUCGGACAUGGACGGAAGUCUGACCGAGCAACGCCGCGUGAGUGAAGAAGGUUUUCGGAUCGUAAAGCUCUGUUGUUAGAGGAGCGGUAACUAACCAGAAAGGGACGGCUAACUACGUGCCAGCAGCCGCGGUAAUUC
rnacentral:rRNA from 1 species